GGGGAUUAACACAAAAGGCCGAAUCACGAAAGGCCGAACCACGAAAGGCCGAAUCACAAAAGGCCGAAACCAGUAUAACUACCACAAAAGGCCGAAAGCACAAAAGGCCGAAUCACGAAAGGCCGAAGGUAACGAAAGGCCGAAUGUAACAAAAGGCCGAAGGUAACGAAAGGCCGAAUGUAACAAAAGGCCGAACGUAACGAAAGGCCGAAUUACGAAAAACGCAUAUUCACUUGGUUUCCGUUUAGUCAAAUACUCUAUUAAUUAAAAGAAUGUAUGUAUGCUCGUAUGUAUGUAUGUAUGUUAUAACCACAAAUUGAAUAGUUAAAAAAUAACUCC